GACGAACCGAGCGAACGUUGUUCGGAAUCACUGGGCGUAAAGGGCGUGUAGGCGGGAAUGUAAGUCGGGCGUGAAAUCCCUAGGCUCAACCUAGGAACUGCACUCGAAACUGCGUUUCUUGAGUAUCGGAGAGGAAAGCGGAAUACCUGGUGUAGAGGUGAAAUUCGUAGAUAUCAGGUGGAACACCAGUGGCGAAGGCGGCUUUCUGGACGAUAACUGACGCUGAGACGCGAAAGCGUGGGGAGCAAACAGG
rnacentral:rRNA from 1 species